UACGGAGGGUGCAAGCGUUAUCCGGAUUUAUUGGGCGUAAAGAGCUCGUAGGCGGUUUGUCGCGUCUGCUGUGAAAACCUAAGGCUCAACCUUGGGCUUGCAGUGGGUACGGGCAGACUAGAGUGCGGUAGGGGUGACUGGAAUUCCUGGUGUAGCGGUGGAAUGCGCAGAUAUCAGGAGGAACACCGAUGGCGAAGGCAGGUCACUGGGCCGCAACUGACGCUGAGGAGCGAAAGCAUGGGGAGCGAACAGG
rnacentral:rRNA from 1 species